AUGCUGAGAUAUGAUCUCGAGGAUCAGCUCUUGAUCAUAUACACGGAUGAAGAAGCAUACUGGAGGCUUCGCGGUACUCAGAAAUGGGUGCUCCGUGGAGACGCCAAUACGGCUUACUUCUAGGCGAUCGCGAAUGGGCGGCGACGACGGAACUCCAUUCAUUGCUUAUGGGAUGGGGAUUCCUAGAUUGUCUGUCCAUCGGACAUCCGUGCCCACGUAGACGGUUUUUACAAAGCCCUAUUCUCCCCCACCCUUCGUGGUGGGGCCGCACUGGCCCUCGACACUUGGUCGGGUAACCAGUUAGUGUACGAUGAGGCAAAUGCCGCCUUGGUGGCGCCUUUUUCGGAGGACGAGGUCCUCACGACCAUAAAGGGUAUGAACCCCUCCUCGGCCCCGGGACCGGAUGGACUGCCUGUGACUUUUUUCAAAAUGUUAUGGCAGACUAUCAAACCGGAAGUCAUGGCCCUCUUCGACGAAUUCUUCUCGGGGACCAUGGACCUUGGGCACCUAAACUAUGGGGUCAUCACUCUCAUCCCCAAAGUUCCGGGUGCUUCUGACAUCCGCCAGUUCCGACCUAUCACUGUGAUCAAUGUGAUAUUCCGGAUCUUGGCCAAAGGGUACGCCAAUAGGGUGACCCUCUUAGCUGACACUCACUGCCGGAGCUUCGGCAAGGCCGAAUGGGCCGUGGCCCGCCCAACAUUUUGA
rnacentral:rRNA from 1 species